GUGGAAAGAGACUUCUGCCUUAAGCAUUCAUUCCGAAUUGGCACUGUUCCCUUAUCAACUUGGAAAGCUGCCCCAGCCUGACAAGGUCCCUCAACUGACAGCGUCCUGCGGCUCUGGCCCAGAUUCCAGCUCCCGCCCCCAGUGGCCUUCACACCUGCGGCUCCCUGAUUUAAUGAGGGCUGUCGGGGAUUAUCAAGUCAUGAACUCGCUUGCAUCCGCCAGACUCUCAUGAAUGAGGCAUUUUGUUCAGCUACCUCUCGUUUCGUGUUUCUUGGAGCCAAGGCAAAGGGAAAAGGCAAGGUGAUGUAAGAAUGAGCAGCCUGAGGAGAGGAGCCCUGGCCCACCUCUGAGGGGGUUGAUGCCAGGGCUGGGCACCGACAGCAGGCUCAGCCAAGACGCAUCUCCAAACCACCGGCCUGGGCCGCCCUGCCUGAACUGUCUCCGAGCCUCCUCGUGGGGCGGCCGCUGCCUGUCACCGCGGUUCCUAAAGAGCCGACAGCUUCUUCGUGCUCGGGAGUCACAGGAGGAUUACGACUGUCGGCCCUCUCCUAUUACCCCCUCCAGCUGCCCGGCCCCCCGGAGAAUCCCUUCCCAGUGGGCGAGGAUGUCAUCAUCAUAGCCACAUUAAAGCAACUUGUGGAUUCUUUACCAACUGAGCCACCAGGGAAACCUAGGGAGCAGAUUCUCUCCGGGUCCACUCUCUGCCAUCCCAAGAGGCCUGCUGCCCCUACAGCCAUGUACGGUACCCUGGGCUUGAAGUCCAGGGUCUCCAUUUCCAGCGAAGAUGGUGAGUCCAUUUCUACCCCUUGCGACCUAUGCCUGGAAGAAAACAUGGAUCCUGUUCCCUUGACUGUUUCCUAUGUUUUAUGAAAAACUGGUUAUGAGUCAACACCAGACAAUGACUAAAAGA